rnacentral:rRNA from 1 species
UACGGGGGGAGCAACGUUGUUCGGAAUCACUGGGCGUAAAGGGCGUGUAGGCGGCUGGAUAAGUGGGAUGUUAAAUCCCCCGGCUCAACCGGGGACCUGCAUCUCAUACUGUUCAGCUCGAGCACAUCAGAGGAGACUGGAAUUCCCGGUGUAGCGGUGAAAUGCGUAGAUAUCGGGAGGAAGGCCGGUGGCGAAGGCGGCGCUCUGGGAACAUUUCUGACGCUGAGGCUCGAAAGCGUGGGGAGCAAACAGGG